CUAGCUGAGUUCUAGGUUGUUGGUUCAGUUCAGUUUGUAAAGGACAUUGUGGAAGCUGUUGCGAGGUAUGCUGAGAUUGUAAUGAUGAUUCUUGGGGAUACUGUGGUUGAGGCCGAGGAUGAGGUUGAUGCAGAGGCUGGGCUUGAGGUUGGGCCUGGGCCUGGGUCUGGAACUGCGCUUGGGUUGGGGUUUGAAAUUGGUGAUGAUAUUGAGGUUGGGACUGAGGUUGGGACUGAGGUUGAAACUGAGGAGGAAACUGAGGUUGCGACUGAGAUUGAGGUUGGGGUUGGGGCUGAGUCUGAGCCCAAGGAGCUACAUAACUGUUAAAGCUCUGAUCUUGAUAUCCAAGAUAAGCUUGAGAUGCAUAUGGAUUCCCUUGCGUGGUUGAGGCAACAGGCUCCUGAUGCGUGCUAUGAUUGGCUGAAGC
rnacentral:lncRNA from 1 species